GAUGAACGCUAGCUACAGGCUUAACACAUGCAAGUCGCAGGGUAACAUGAGGAAAGCUUGCUUUCCUUGAUGACGACUGGCGCACGGGUGAGUAACGCGUAUCCAACCUUCCCAUAACUACGGGAUAACCCGUUGAAAGACGGCCUAAUACCGUAUGAUAUCGUUUGCUGACAUCAAAUAACGAUUAAAGGUUUAGCGGUUAUGGAUGGGGAUGCGUCUGAUUAGCUUGUUGGCGGGGUAACGGCCCACCAAGGCGACGAUCAGUAGGGGUUCUGAGAGGAAGGUCCCCCACAUUGGAACUGAGACACGGUCCAAACUCCUACGGGAGGCAGCAGUGAGGAAUAUUGGUCAAUGGGCGAGAGCCUGAACCAGCCAAGUAGCGUGCAGGACGACGGCCCUAUGGGUUGUAAACUGCUUUUAUGUGGGGAUAAAGUGCGUGACGUGUCAUGCAUUGCAGGUACCACAUGAAUAAGAACCGGCUAAUUCCGUG
rnacentral:rRNA from 1 species